rnacentral:rRNA from 1 species
UACAGAGGUGGCAAGCGUUGUUCGGAAUUACUGGGCGUAAAGGGCGCGUAGGCGGCCCACUAAGUCAGACGUGAAAUCCCCCGGCUUAACCUGGGAACUGCGUCUGAUACUGGAGGGCUUGAGUAUGGGAGAGGGAUGUAGAAUUCCAGGUGUAGCGGUGAAAUGCGUAGAUAUCCGGAGGAACACCGGUGGCGAAGGCGGCUUCCUGGACCGACACUGACGCUGAGGCGCGAAAGCUAGGGGAGCAAACGGG